GAAAAUAGCCAACAACUUCUGUCGUUUCAUCGAUAUUAAAUCCAAAAGUGUCGACUGGAUUUACAUGAAAAGUCAGUUCAAGAAGACGAGAUGAAAAAUUUAAAAGAAAAGCUGAACAAGUCCCGCCUCAAGAUCAAACGACUUAAUGAAAAAAAAAACAAUGUGACAGGGUGUCACAAAGACAGUUUCUAAGCAAAUUGACACUGUUUAGAAAUUAAUAAAUUUGUAUUUAUUGUAAAUAUAAUGUACAUAAUUAAUAACGUGUGAAAUAAAUACUUGCUAAUGAAAAUGAACAGAUUUACGAUCUAAUUUAUAUUUCAUUUUACCUCCUGUUCUUAUUUACUCCUACUCCAACACUCCAGGUUGAUACGAACUGCGCCCAAUAAAGAAUGUAAUGAAUGUUAUAGAU